ACAUAUAAUGAUGAUAUUUUACCGUCCCAGUCUGAAAGUGGUGACUGAUAGGUUUUUCUGAAAAAGC